UAUUGGGCAAUGGGCGCAAGCCUGACCCAGCAACGCCGCGUGAAGGAAGAAGGCUUUCGGGUUGUAAACUUCUUUUAAGAGGGAAGAGCAGAAGACGGUACCUGACUAAGAAGCCCCGGCUAACUACGUGCCAGCAGCCGCGGUAAUACGUAGGGGGCAAGCGUUAUCCGGAUUUACUGGGUGUAAAGGGAGCGUAGACGGAUAAGCAAGUCUGAUGUGAAAAUCCGGGGCCCAACCCCGGAAUUGCAUUGGAAACUGCAUAUCUAGAGUGUCGGAGAGGCAAGUGGAAUUCCUGGUGUAGCGGUGAAAUGCGUAGAUAUCAGGAGGAACACCAGUGGCGAAGGCGGCUUGCUGGACGAUGACUGACGUUGAGGCUCGAAAGCGUGGGGAGCAA
rnacentral:rRNA from 1 species